CGAGCGCGCGGCCGGCCUUGGGUGGGCCGGGGCUUCCUGGAGCUCGCCGGUCGGCACGGUAGAAAAGUACCCAGGGACACAUAGGUAGCAUGAAUUUGUGCCUUCAAACUGUAGGAGGACCUGCUUGUAAGAAACUCAGGGAAAUUUCCUAUCCACCUGACUCCAGCCGGAGCUGAGGCCAAAAGAGGUAUACUUUGUUCUAAAUAUGCAACCGUCUUGAUACGGUAUUCGCUUCGUGCUUUGAUUGUGUAUGGCCGUGGCAGCCAAAAGGACUGUUCAUUCUCAUCAUGUUGUCAAAAGAUUUGCGUUUUUCAUAUUUUGCAACCAUUCCAUUAAAGGAGAAAGAAGAGCUGGCGGAACCUGCUCUUCCCUCCAGCCCCAGCGGGGUGAACUCAGCAUUGGUGGCGUGAAGAUCGGGGCUGAUCCUGGUUUGUCCCCGAGGGGGUCUACUUCAGGCACACAGCAACUCCAGUGCCUGGUCAUAUUACGAUGUUAUACUUUACAGACCAGCAAUCCAAGCAAAAGAUGGUUUUCUGUGUCCUGCAAAUAAAUGCUCAAUUCACAACUGCAAUGAGAGAUCGGUCUGCAGCAUCUCACUCCCUCCAUCUUCAUGUUCCUCUUCGUUGUUUUCUUCAAUCUUUUCUUAUAAGACUGUUUCUCAUUCUUAUCAUACACUAUAUGGCAAGUUCUUUGUAUACAUUAAAAGGUUUAAUUCUCAUAAAAC
rnacentral:lncRNA from 1 species